AUGUCUCUUCGUGCACGCCACCCUUUCAAAUUCUCAUUUGUCGUCUCCGGAACUCAAAAGUUAGUGGUCCAAGAAAACAGCCUAGGAAAUAAUCAGAUUCCCGCUUUUUGGUCAACGGUCCCUCGCGUAACGAAUGCUAGCGCAGAACCCUCCGCGGACCGCAGCAGGGACCGGUUCCCGGCUGGUCUUGGUCACCCGCCGCCAACACCAGGAGCGAGAGCUGAGCGAGGGCUGUGGGACCGGGUGCCAGACCGAGAGCGCCGCCGUGCACCCGAGGGUGACAGCGGGAGAGAAGGUGAAUGCAAAGGGUCUGGUGAGCGACUCAGGAAAUCCCCAAAAUGGAAGCACAACAGGAUGAAAAGAACUGGCAUCCCUAAAAUAUUACAUUGAAGACUGGACACCUGAUUGGACCAUGACAUGGGUCAGGGGAGGACCACCCUGCUUCAUGGCCGACCCUGCGGGCUUGCCCGGCCUCCUUCGCGGAGGUCAUUGGACCCUGUAUAUUCUCCUACAAACGUCUCUGGCAUCUGAGAGGCAAGUAAACCCUACAGCGCCUGCUUGUUCACAGAGGGCCUUAUCAGUUGUUGAUGAGACCCUGUCUAGGCUCACAGACAGGCAGUUUCCUCCAGCCCCAGAGCCCGAGCCCGCUGUGGAGCCAGAAGAAGG
rnacentral:lncRNA from 1 species